CCUACGGGUGGCAGCAGUGGGGAAUAUUGCACAAUGGGGGAAACCCUGAUGCAGCGACGCCGCGUGAGUGAAGAAGUAUUUCGGUAUAUAAAGCUCUAUCAGCAGGGAAGAAAUAGCGACCUUUGGGUCGCCAGACGGUACCUGAUUAAGAAGCCCCGUCUAACUACGUGCCAGCAGCCGCGGUAAUACGUAGGGGCCAAGCGUUAUCCGGAUUUAUUGGGUUUAAAGGGUGCGCAGGCGGAGGUGCAAGUCAGCGGUCAAAUUGCGGGGCUCAACCCCGUACUUCCGUUGAAACUGCAUCCCUUGAGUGCGCGAGAAGUAUGUGGAAUGCGUGGUGUAGCGGUGAAAUGCAUAGAUAUCACGCAGAACUCCGAGUGCGAAGGCAGCAUACCGGCGCGCAACUGACGCUCAUGCACGAAAGCGUGGGUAUCGAACAGGAUUAGAUACCCUGGUAGUC
rnacentral:rRNA from 1 species